CCUACGGGCGGCAGCAGUGGGGAAUAUUGGACAAUGGGGGCAACCCUGAUCCAGCCAUGCCGCGUGUGUGAAGAAGGCCCUCGGGUUGUAAAGCACUUCAGUGAGGAAGAACGCCUGGUGGUUAAUACCCAUCAGGAAAGACAUCACUCACAGAAGAAGCACCGGCUAACUCCGUGCCAGCAGCCGCGGUAAUACGGAGGGUGCGAGCGUUAAUCGGAAUUACUGGGCGUAAAGCGCGCGUAGGUGGCUUGAUAAGCCGGUUGUGAAAGCCCCGGGCUCAACCUGGGAACGGCAUCCGGAACUGUCAAGCUAGAGUGCAGGAGAGGAAGGUAGAAUUCCCGGUGUAGCGGUGAAAUGCGUAGAGAUCGGGAGGAAUACCAGUGGCGAAGGCGGCCUUCUGGACUGACACUGACACUGAGGUGCGAAAGCGUGGGUAGCAAACAGGAUUAGAUACCCUGGUAGUC
rnacentral:rRNA from 1 species